UCAGAUCCGCCGAGUAUGGAGCGCUCGGCUUUUCUUUUGUGUGAGGAGCACCCACGACGCCCCGACCAUGGGCGCAGGGGCAGAGGCGAAGGUCGUCGCUCCGUCCGCUACCCCGUCCCCCAGCCGCAGGCGCCGAGGAGCCGGAAGAGAGGCGGAAAGGGCAGCAGGCUCCUUACCCAGACCAGCGAGGGGAGGUCAGCUCGUCGCGGGGUGUGGCUCCCGUCCGGGGACCCCCGAGCUCAUUACGGGUGGCCGUGUGUAGCCAAGUUCAAGCUCUCCCUCCGGGAAUGCCUGCCGCGGCGGCGGAACACGGCUUCUUCAGGACAUUCAGCAAAGCGGGGAGGCGGGGACCUGCGGGCGGAGGAGCGACGCCCCAGCUGGGAACGCGGCGGACGGGCGAGCGGGGGGUGUGCCCUGGGCGCGCCAGGCCGCGGAGGCUCCGGGGAAAGUUCUCUUGGCCGCGCGAGUGGUGGCGCCCCGGGCGGGAGCAGCCCAGGUGCAUGUGGGCCCGGUCCAGGCGUCUGCAAAAAGCCCUGGAACGAAGCGGACCCCCCAGUCCAGCGCUGGCCGCGGCAGGGGAGCCCCUUCUGGGCGGGGUAUCAGCUGGGGGCGGAGGGCGGGGCAGAGACCGUGGUCCCAGCGGCGAGGUGCCGGCGAGUCCACGCUGCCAAGCCGCACGCUGCGCCCAAGCCGCGGGGCAGUCUAGCGCUCGCUGCUUCCCGAGAGAAGCUCGCCUUCCCCCGAGAGACCUGGAGGCUGAGUGGGGAGAAGAGGACGCGGUGCUGCUCGGACCCCACCGUUCGGCGGUCCCAAUCCCACGCCCUCCGCGCGGUCGGCCGCGUCCAGGACUAAGGGGCACAAUAGCUCUGAAGCUGCAGUGACCCCUGGUGGGUCCCGAUGUCCGUGCACAGGCAGCCGAGGUUGAGCUGCGGACGACACUGAGCCCCGCUGGGCUUCGGAGCAGGUGCAAUCUGUGCUCUCCAGCUGGGAACCAGCAGCGAGUUAAUGCGAGUCGCAGUUAGGGGAGACACGAGGGGAGGUGUCAC
rnacentral:lncRNA from 1 species